rnacentral:rRNA from 1 species
GACCAACGCUGGCGGCGUGCCUAAUACAUGCAAGUAGAACGCUGAAGAGAGGAGCUUACUCUUCUUGGAUGAGUUGCGAACGGGUGAGUAACGCGUAGGUAACCUGCCUUGUAGCGGGGGAUAACUAUUGGAAACGAUAGCUAAUACCGCAUAACAAUGGAUGACACAUGUCAUUUAUUUGAAAGGGGCAAUUGCUCCACUACAAGAUGGACCUGCGUUGUAUUAGCUAGUAGGUGAGGUAAUGGCUCACCUAGGCGACGAUACAUAGCCGACCUGAGAGGGUGAUCGGCCACACUGGGACUGAGACACGGCCCAGACUCCUACGGGAGGCAGCAGUAGGGAAUCUUCGGCAAUGGGGGCAACCCUGACCGAGCAACGCCGCGUGAGUGAAGAAGGUUUUCGGAUCGUAAAGCUCUGUUGUAAGUCAAGAACGGGUGUGAGAGUGGAAAGUUCACACUGUGACGGUAGCUUACCAGAAAGGGACGGCUAACUACGUG